GUAACUUAUCAAUCUGUUCACAGUGGCUUGGGUUUUGACUGUACGAAAAGCCCUAACAAAAAAAAAGAAAAAGAAAAAAAGUACCACCCUAUAUAGCGGAGCGAGGCAGACAGUACGUCUUUUUUUUUUUUUUUUUACUAUUUUAAAGUUAAAUGAAGCUGCCGCUGAAAAUAUGAGUAACUUAUCAAUCUGUUCACAGUGGCUUGGGUUUUGACUGUACGAAAAGCCCAAUGCAUCCGAGUUAUAAUUUUUCACAGUUUAGCCUGGCGAUUAUAAACACAUUUAUGUAUUGCAUGAUCAUUAUAAAACAAAUAAUCAGACAAACAUGCUAAUCUCCGAAACCGCUCUCUGAACUUCACUACGAUUGGCCUCUUGAUGAUGUCCGUUAUGUGCAGAGCGAUGUGAUUGGUCAAGAGCUGACUGACGCUUCUGGCCCCGCCCACUCUCAAGUGCUUCACGAAUUUGGGGCGCUAUAUUUUUAGCUUGUUAGCAUGCUAGCAUCGGCAUCGUCGAUAUAAAGUCACAUCACUGCUUGCUCUUUUAUUGUUAAGCGUUUGAAUGGUACAGAACCAUGUACUUUAGCCACAUAUUAUAAAAGAGUAGCUUUGCGCUGUUUUUAACGCACAAGUCUUGUUUGUUCGGGAUGUUUUUACCCUUAACAUGGAGACAAAAAGAGGGGAGAUUCCUAACGGGGUGCUGGAUGACCUUUGCAGCAAGCCAGAGGCGACUGGAUCCAGGUGACUGCAGUGACCCUCUGACUUGGAUACAGACUGGAUCUGGUGGCUACGGUGACCUCGGAAUAAGAGAGAAACAGACUAAUAUUAGCGUAGAUGCCAUUCUUCUAACGAUGUAGCAAGUACAUCGGGUGUUAUGGGAAGUGUUCCCGGUUCCGGUUUACCUAAUUAAUGCAGCCUAAAAAUCCUUUAACGGAUUUGGAUAUUAGAAGCGUAUUAGUGUGUUAUAUGUAAGCCAGGUAAAAGAGACGGGUCUUUAAUCUAGAUUUAAACUGACAGAGUGUGUCUGCCUCCCGAACAAUGUUAGGUAGGUUAUUCCAGAGUUUUGGCGCUAAAUAGGAAAAGGAUCUGCUGCCCGCAGUUGAUUUUGAUAUUCUUAAGUAUUAUCAAAUGACAUAUUCUAAGUAUUAUCAAAUGACCAGAGUUUGAGAACACAGCGGAUGUGGAGGACUAUAAUGUAACAAGAGCUCGUUCAAAUACUGAGAUGCUAAACCAUUCAGGGCUUUAUAAGUAAUAAGCAAGAUUUUAAAAUCUAUACGAUGUUUGAUAGGUUGCCAGUGCAGUGUUGACAGGACCGGGCUAAUAUGAGCAUACUUCCUGGUUCUAGUAAGAACUCUAGCUGCUGUGUUUUGGACUAACUGGAGUUUGUUUACUAAGCGUGCAGAACAACCACCCAAUAGAGCAUUACAAUAGUCUAACCUUGAGGUCAUAAACGCAUGGAUUAACAUUUCUGCAUUUGACAUUGAGAGCAUAGGCCAUAAUUUAGAUAUAUUUUUGAGAUGGAAAAAUGCAGUUUUACAAAUGCUAGAAACGUGGCUUUCUAAGGAAAGGUUGCUAUCAAAUAGCACACCUAGGUUCCUAACUGAUGACGAAGAAUUGAUUAGCGUCCACAUCAGCGA
rnacentral:lncRNA from 1 species